UACUGCUUUCUGUUUCGUCUGUGUUUGGUUGGUGCAAAGUUCGAAGGUGGACAAAGGGAGGAGGGGCGAGGUGGGGAAGGCGGCGGCCCCGCUCCGCGGAGCGGCAGCGACAGUCCCGCCACCGACCACCCCAGGCGAGCCGUCGCCGGUACGCGCGGGCGAAGGAAGGCCAUUAGAGCGCGGGAGCUGAGGGAGGAAGCCAGGUGCGGGUCAACGACAGAACCUAGUUAGUUGUUAUGAUUAUAUAAACGAGGGCCGAUUAGUGUGGUGGUGGAAACUAUUUGUGGUGACGAGGUAGUGGUCGAUGAUCGCGCCGUCACCGUUGUAGCCCGCUCGCCGAGUUCGCCACGCGCCUCUCCGACGACGCCCGCGGUGGUCACGCCCCUUUGCGCCUCCCCUGAUCGCCGCCGCCGCCGCCGCCGCUCCACCACCGUGCAGCCAUCCUCCCCCAAGCACCGUAGCCACCUCCGCCCCCGCUUCCCCCUCUACCUCUCGUGGUACUUCCUCUAUGCCCCUCCGCCCCGCGGCACGCACGACCUGUACCUGCUGCGCCGCUGCCACCCGCCGCCGCAGCUCCUGUGGAUGCCGCUCCUGGCGCGGUGGCUCCUCGUCGAGCAGUGCGGCACCUGGCAGAGACAGCGCUCGCCAAUGUUAAACAACUCCCUAGGUGCGAUGUUGUUCCCCGAACGGAAGUGUCUCUUCCUCGCACUCUGUGUGAUGGAAGCACCGGAAGACGGUGGUCGUCAGUGUAGGGUCCUCGAGGUCCUCUCCUUCUAGUACGUAUUAUAAGCGGUCAUGGUCGAUGGAGACGUCGCAAUGUACCGAUACUACCUGGAAGUUCUCCCCUUACUCUCCGAAAAGAUGUUCGAGGAGUAACUGUUACAACUCCUCGACGAAGGAUAACACAUGUGAGGUUGACAACCACUCCGGACGGUUUUCAUGCCCAGAUAUAAAUCAGCAGGCGUCCCAGAAAUGUAGUCGAACUUUCUCUUCCCUUUCUAGGAACUCCACGACUUCUUGACCGGACUCUCCUCGUAAGUCCAAUAACAGCAAUGACUGCCACUUGCAUAAAACCCCGAACCUCUAGAACCUACGGUCCCUUACCCCUAAGGACAACCAUUCGAAAGGGAAAUGUGACGAGACCCUCCCCAAGCAGGUAGACGUACGAACGGUUAGUGUAACCUACAACCAUGUUUAUUACUCCUCGAAGACUUACUACUUAAAAUGUAACCGAACUCCGUUUCUUCCCAGUGACCGGUCCUCAUACGACUAAAAGACGUACUUAAAUACCGACGACACUUCGUUUUGAUACCCCUCUUUCAAGAGUAAGUCAAGCUCCUAAAACGUUUGGUGUUACGGAAACUAGAGGAACGUUCUAUGCCUUGUUGGGUGGAACAUAAGUUACUACUGUAAGUCCCUUGUCGAAGCCACCAGGAACGACCCGAACAACGUCGUGACUUUAAUCAACCACCAUGUAAUCGUCUCGUGUGGAUGGACAAGAACCCUCGACCUCUCCGACCCUGUCCAUAACGUCUUGAAUAUCGAGAACUCUACAGUUCUGUCUGUUUUUGUGGUUAUCUGCUUACAGCGUUCUUUUAGACCGAACAACUAAGUUUCCCGGACUAGCAGUCAUGCGCUUUCCUCAGGGAAGUUGUGAAGUUCUUUGGUACCCGAGUACUCGUACUCGUACAGCCGUUGGAGAAUCUACGUCACUUACGAUAGUUUGGUUGUCACAACUAACCGUGUAGACCUUUCCCCGUUUGAAAGUGUGUCCUCCAACAACUUCGUUAAAGGAGUAAAUUACUCUACGGAUAGUAAGAACGGGACAGGUUGGGUUGCAGCGUCCGACUCACGUGUCGACUUGUUCGAAUGUGUACCUCGUUCCCAGCUCGUCACAAACGUUGACCUUCGGGUAAACUAGGUCACCUCAUGUUACCGUUCUGUGUACACGGACCGGUCCGUUUGUUACGUAUAUAGAAAGGUCCCAAACCGGAACCUCACCACUACAGACCCCGUUAGGCACACGUACUACUGUACGAAGAACGUCGGAGCCUCCGAGACCGAGUCGUCCAGUGUGUCCUCUUAAAACUGUUCCCCGAGUAAAUGGGAGGGAAGAGUUUAUAGUCUUUCUAGAGACGAGUGUAGCGCCGGUUGCAACGUCGUUCCCGUAUACUUGAACCAAACCGCUCAUCCGCGGGAGCCGGUUUCCUGGACCAGUUCAUACGCCUCUCGACGUACAUGUCGGGCUAAAUGGCGUUAAUGGCCACUUAGACGUAAGUAGGCCGACACAUGUCUUUGACAAACAGGUUGAUGAACGAAGUUUUAGGGACUUCUUGUGGUGAACACCAAUUCGACACGUUGGCCCCAACCAAGUUCGAGACAAAGCAUAAAUGAAGGACACGACGGAUAAUACAUCAUGAGGGAGGCAGGGUGUUACAUUCUGCAAAACGUUCGAUAAAACCCUGCCCCCCUCAUAAAGCGAACGAUGAUGAUGAACCAGACAUAUGACAUCACGAAAACGGGACCUACACUACAUAUUUGACGGAAACACCGUUCCAUUCUAUUCAGAAACAUAAGAGUAGCCUGUUUCAAUAGCAGGUCACGUACACGGCCUCUUCCUGUCCAAACCUUAUUUUCAAAGAUGUCAAAGAAGGAGCCAU
rnacentral:rRNA from 1 species